rnacentral:rRNA from 1 species
UACGUAGGUGGCAAGCGUUGUCCGGAAUUACUGGGCGUAAAGCGUGCGCAGGCGGUUUUGUAAGCCAGAUGUGAAAUCCCCGGGCUUAACCUGGGAAUGGCAUUUGGGACUGCAAGGCUGGAGUUUGGCAGAGGAGACUGGAAUUCCCGGUGUAGCAGUGAAAUGCGUAGAUAUCGGGAGGAAUACCGAUGGCGAAGGCAGGUCUCUGGGCUAUAACUGACGCUCAUGCACGAAAGCGUGGGGAGCAAACAGG